UUUUUUUUUAAUUUUUAUUUUUUAAUGUCAGUUUUGUUUCCAGAAUUCUGCUUAUCAAUAAAUGGUGGGCUACCUGCCUGUAUAAUGAUGUGUUUAGGCUGCUCUCUGGGAUUCUGGCCUUGUGCUGGAAGUAGCCAGUAUCUGUCAUUUGAUUGUUCUUGCUCUAUGAAACUGUGUUGGUGGUAUCUAUGAAAAUCUUCAGUGUCUUUAUAUUUUUUUUUAUCCAUUUAUUCUAGUGUCCUCAUGCUGUCUUUGUUAGUCUUUAAUUGGAAGAAGUCUUCAAUUUCACUAAGAUUUAGGUAGCCCUUGUAUGAAUCUUCGUCUGCUACUUUUGAUUUACUAUUAUUGUACUCUUCUUCAGUGAUGUCUAUGGACUGACAGGACCAUAAAGUAUGAAGAGGAUUGGGCAAUUUAAACAAGUGACCUGAAUCUGUACAGGAAACCCUGCCUACCCUGUGUCAAAUGUGAGCCAUGCACUUGGAAGGAGAAUGUGGAUGAACCACUGUAUCCUGAUUAGGAGUGUCUACACCAAGGAUUUAGCGGCAAAGUGGAUAAAUGGAUUCAAGUCAGCAUGAUACUGUAGAAGAUAACCUCGGGGAAGUCUCUGUGUUUGUAAACAAUAAAAAUCUGUCUGUGUUUUGUA